AACGCACAUUGCGCCCUUUGGCAUUCCUUAGGGCAUGCCUGUUCGAGCGUCAUCUAAAAACCCUCAAGCACUGCUUGGUGUUGGGCGCCUUGUCCCGCCCCCGGGCGCGGACUCGCCUCAAAAACAUUGGCGGCCUGUGUAUUGGCUUCGAGCGCAGCAGAAACGCGCCUCGCAGACCUCUCGCGCGGGCGUCCAUCAAGACGCAACCACAAGUUUGACCUCGGAUCAGGUAGGGAUACCCGCUGAACUUAA
rnacentral:misc_RNA from 1 species